GUCUGACAGUGCUAGGGAGGAGGCUGGUGGAAUCACCGCCCCACCCCCCUCGUCCAUGGACCGCUGCUCAAAGACGCUGUCCCUGCCUCAACAAUGAGAACGCCCUUGCCCACCUUGCAGAACAGGUUACUUCCUUCUGCUCAUCACAACUUUACUGUUUUUCCAUCCACCUCAAUCAAAAGAUGAGCAACAUAUGACAGAGAAGAAGUAUUUUUCAACUUGUUCAUAGCUAUGGCAUGAUCCUUGCUUAGUAAGGGCUGCCUUUUAUUGUCCAUUUCCAUACAGAAGAAAUUCAAUGUAAGAACCCUGCAACCCUAUUAUGAAGAUUUGAUUUCUACUAAGUCAGAGUGUCGGGGUCAUCCAUUGGCAGAGGGGCUGUCUUCAUGGCUUGGAGCAUUUCUUCAUUCUUGUCCUUCAUUUGUCUCAGUUCAAGCUCCCAUGCUUUACAUACGGCAACACUUCUGUCCUCAAAUUCGGAUGAUUCGUUUAUGAUAGCCUGUCCAACCCAAUUCAACAAAUGCUUAUUAAGUGCAUUGUGUUAAGUGCAUAUUAUUAAAAUUUCCAGACACUUUUCUUGAAAUGAGGAUGAUAUAAAAAUGACGCCCCCCCCCCCCCAAAAGCGACAGAAUUUCUGCCCUACAAAGGUUAUCAUGGCGGUCAUAUGUAUGUAACAAUUGCAAUAUGAUUACCCCCCCCCCCCACAACUGCAGUAAAACAAAAUAAAAGAAAUUAAAUUGAUGGACCAGAUCAGCAGAGUAGUGUGGGAGAUUAGAGUGACCUAGUUUCGUGGGUGAAAGAAACUGGGAUAUCAUUAAGAAGACAAAAAAAAUCACACUCACCUUUAUUUUAUUAUGAUACGAGUUAUUCACAUGAACAAUCCUAUCAUUCUCCUCCUGUAUUAUUUUUUUAAGACUAUCCACAUCAAGAUGUGUGCUUAAACACAUUUCCAGGAACAAGAUAAUUUCUUUCUUAGCAUUUAACAGUUGUUGUAAUUCAGCCACCAUGUUGUGGAUAUCAUUUUGAGUCUCUGAAACAUCCUCGAGAAUUUGCUGUGUGAAGAAGAGUAUUAAUUUCCUGAGUUCUGAGAAGACUUUAUGUAAACAUGCCAUCAAAUUUCAUCACUGCUUUAAACGAUAAAAAUGGAGGCAAACACCAAACUCAAAUCCCUCAGACACCUUCAUAUUUUAAGGUAAAUUAAGAACAUAAUUCUAAUUGGGAGAACUCAGUUUAUUAACUUAUAGUACAUAGCUCUGGCAGGGAACACAAGCUGUAUUAAAGCUGCUUCUCCCCAUACUCUAGGUGUCUGAUUUAAAAUCUGCCAGAAAUGUGCUAUUAUAUUCUAACAAACCAGUGAAGUGAUGAGGCUGACUGGGCAAUGAAGCUGAAAUGAGAAGUUCAGGUCUAAAUCCUGAUUCCUACUCAACUGAGAGUGACUUAUUUGUAAACUGAAGGGGGUGGUCUAGAGGAUCUCCAGGGUCCUUUCUAACGCUAAAUGCCAGCCCAUAUUUAAUCCACAAGAUGAUAAACCUGAUGUUUUCUUAUCCACAGUACCACUAAGUGGCUGCUCCAACCUGGAAAAUGCGCAUUUUUGUGUGGAGAUGCAGUAGAUGGAUUCAAGGGGAAGGGGUUAUACAGUUAAGGCUCCUUAAGGAAAUGGAAACAUAAAAAGAGUUUAUUCCAUUGUAUUCAUUUAUAUUUUAUCCUUUGGCUAACUCUUAUGAAGAUGCCGGUGCAACAGAAAUAAAUCUAGAUUUGAAAUCAGUGGGUCUGUUACUACUUGUAUCACCUUGGGCAUUUAACCUCUGAAGGCCUCAAGUAUAAGGUCAGAGGGAUAGAUGAGGUGUUUUCUAAGGUCCCUUCCAUGAUCUUAUGAUUACUAUUUGUGACAUUUUACAUAUCUUAAAAUCUUUAACAUUUUAAAGUAGAAAUAGAAUGGAAAGGAAAUAAAAUAGGAAAUAAAUAGAAUGAAUAUGGAAAAUUUUUACUGUAACUCAAACUAGAUUAUGACUAUCAUUAUUCUUCUGGGCUUAGCUUUUUGUCUGAUCUAUAUAUAGGUUGGGAUCGCUAGUAGGGAUUUGUUAAGAAGUAGGGUGAUAGCCUUUGCUCAUUGCUAGGACAGGUAGGAGGGUAGGGUCAUAGAGAUACAAAGCUCCCCAGCUUUGUAGCUAUGGACAAAGUAAGAGUUGGAAAAUAGUCUUAAGUUUUUUAGUAUGAAUGUCCUCAUGAAAGAGUUGUUUGGUCACUGUGCACUUAGGGAACUCUGAAAUGAGGCUUAACAGGAUAUAGUUCUAAAAAUCUUUUGUUUCUUAUUGGCUUUGUCCAUAUUAAUAAGUGCACUCCUUUUUUUCAUAAACACACAAAGCAUUAAAAAAACCCACCAAACAAACCCCUUUUUAAUGAUUCAUACCUCAAUAUGUA